CGCUCUUUGUAAAAGUUAUCUUGAUAUAUAGAGGGUUCUGCCUGCCCAGUGACGUAGUUAAACGGCCGCGGUAUUUUGACCGUGCAAAGGUAGCAUAAUCAUUUGCCUUUUAAAUGGAGGCUGGUAUGAAUGGCAAGACGGAAAUUUAGCUGUCUCUUCUUUAAUAUCUUGAAAUUAAUUUUUUUGUGAAGAAGCAAAAAUAAGAUCGUAGGACGAGAAGACCCUAUCGAGCUUAAAUAUAGAUUUGGCUUAGGUACUUAUAGUAUUUUCUUGCUAAUAGGUCUUUUUAAGACAGGUACUUUUACUUGUUAAGAUGCGGGUACUGUAGGCUUGGUAUUUUGGUUGGGGCAAUCGCGGAGAAAAAAAAUCCUCCGUUAAUAGUUAAGUAAAAGAUACUUCUUUGAAAUAUAAUAAUUUAUAAUAAUAUGAUCCACUUGUAAAAAGUGAACAAAGGAAUAAGUUACCGUAGGGAUAACAGCGUAAUUUUUUUAGAGAGUUCAUAUUGAUAAAAAAGUUUGCGACCUCGAUGUUGGAUCGAGACUUCCAGGAGAUGCAGCAGUUUCCAAAGGUUGGUCUGUUCGACCAUUAAAGUCUUACGUGAUCUGAGU
rnacentral:rRNA from 1 species